rnacentral:tRNA from 1 species
AGCGGUCGGGUCAGGUGGUAAGACGUUGGGCUCAUAACCUGGAGUGAGAGGUUCGAAUCCUCUGGCUGCUA